rnacentral:rRNA from 1 species
AAGGUUGGUACUUGUACCGACUGGAUGAGCAGCGAACGGGUGAGUAACGCGUGGGGAAUCUGCCUUUGAGCGGGGGACAACAUUUGGAAACGAAUGCUAAUACCGCAUAAAAACUUUAAACACAAGUUUUAAGUUUGAAAGAUGCAAUUGCAUCACUCAAAGAUGAUCCCGCGUUGUAUUAGCUAGUUGGUGAGGUAAAGGCUCACCAAGGCGAUGAUACAUAGCCGACCUGAGAGGGUGAUCGGCCACAUUGGGACUGAGACACGGCCCAAACUCC